UGUCGCGUGAUGCACCUCCUCGCGCGACGACUGUCGUCUGCCCCUUGUCAAGUGUUUCUAUUUCCUAUUUGCUGCCGCUGCUGCUGGUUGGUGGCAUCUGCUCGAUUUCCAGCUUUCUCUCGCACCACUGAUAACACAGACCAUUAGCGGAUGAGGAACAAUAUCGAUGUAACUUACCUGUCUGUCUGUCCACGCGUGGAUCGAACUUACGCAAAAUACGUGGCUGUGAUUUACAGGAAACAGAGUGCAUUGGUCAUGAAAUUGGAACAUGUGGUUCGUUGUUGUGUUUCUUUGUGAGUUUUUCUAAACUUGUGAAACAAGAAUAACUAAUGUGCGUUCCAUAUCAAGGGUUUUAUUCGACAGUUAGUAGUAUUUUGAUUUUAGAAGAACUUAGCAUUUGUGAUAGAUUGGUUAUAAUUUCAAAUAAUCAUUGUCGCCAUGGUCAGUUCGAGAGAUCCUUCCCCGACUUCCAAAACUGUUGUGAAACGUAGGACCCCACUCAAUAGCAGAUCAGGUGCUUUGUCUCCCACUCUUCAACCCACUUUGAACGGACGCAAGGAAACAUUCACGGGAAAUUCUACAUUUCCAAACGGAAUGGCGUCAAGUAUUGGAAGUGCGACGUCUCUAAAUACCUUUGACGGAGACUACGAAAUGGAUCAGCCAGGAGGGGACAGCAACCACAAUAUCAACGUUGUCGUCAGAGUGAGACCACUGAACGAGAAGGAAGUGAAAACAGGGGAUGACUGCGCGACACACUUUCCUGGCAAUGGUCAAAUUUGGCUGGAUGCGACGAGUCCGAAAGAGAAGCCAAAGUCUUUCACGUACAAUGUCGUUUUCGAACCUGAAGCCACACAGGAAGAUGUUUUGAACCACUCUGGUGUCAAACGGCUAAUCGACAUGGCGGUGGAUGGCUUUUCAUGCACUGUUUUUUGCUAUGGACAAACCGGCUCUGGGAAAACCCACACGCUUACUGGCCCUCCAAACUUGUUUCAGAAGAAUCCUGACCCAUUCUCGCCCCAUCAUGGACUCGUGUUCCGCUCUUUUCUUUAUCUAUUCGACCAAAUCCAAAACAGAAACGAUUUCCACUUUGUACUCAAAGCGUCCUUCCUUGAAAUUUAUAAUGAAAAGGUAAUAGAUCUUCUUAACACGUCAAGAAAGUCUCUGGCAGUUCGAUGGUCCAAGAAGUCCCGUGGAUUUUUUGUGGAGAACCUUUUCAUGGUAGAAUGCGAGGAAUUCGAUGACCUUCUCGCCGUAUUAGAAGAAGGUAUGAGGAACCGAGCCGUGGGACGCCAUAACAUGAAUGAGUAUUCCAGUCGGAGUCACACAAUUUUGACUGUUCAUAUAACAUCAGAACAAAAGGCUUCUGAAGAGGGUGUGUUCAUAUCAAGGCAUGGCAAGCUGCACUUUGUUGACCUGGCUGGCAGCGAAAUGACAAAAAAGACUCAAAGCGAAGGAAAGACGUUGGAGGAAGCCAACAACAUUAAUAAGAGUUUGAUGGUCCUAGGCUACUGUAUAGCAUCGUUAAGUGACGCCAAGAAAAAGAGUGGUCACAUUCCUUACCGAGACAGCAAACUUACAAAACUCUUAGCGGACAGCUUAGCAGGGAGUGGCGUCACAUUAAUGAUUGCUUGCAUAUCUCCUGCAAAAUCAAACAUGAGCGAAACUCUGAACACUUUACGAUAUGCAGCCAGAGCCAAAAGAAUUAGGACAAAGCCCGUCGUAGUGAUGGACCCAAGAGAAGCUUUAAUCGUAAGCCUCAAACGGGAAGUGACUGCACUACGCGAGGAGAACAAUCAGUUAAGACAGUUCAUCCAAGUUGGUAGGCCGUCCACGGGAGAAAUUGGGAAUUGGCCGGCAAGAAACUUGGAAACGGCAAAUGGUAUUGGCACCGUUGAUCUUCCCGAUGGCCUCGACAAAGAGAAACUGGAUAAAAUGGAACCAACUCAACUAGUCGACACAAUCGCCAAGUUCAUUCAAGAAAAUGCUGCUCUACGACAAGAUAACUGGGAGCUCGUCGCCGUGCGAGAUCUUUUGAUACGCGACCAGGAAUUGGUUUGUCGAGAGAAUGAACGUUUACUCAAAAAGUUGGAAGAUGUUAACAGCGUUUGCUGUCGAUCUCCUAUCGCACCCGCACGACCAUCUUAUUCCGCCGACAUGAUAAAGUCCCAAUCGGAUGACGAGAUUGCGUCAGGCAUGCGACGAAAUGGCGAAGGCGAUGAAAACUGGUCCAAUUACGAUCCAGCAAAUAAAGAUGGCGACUCUCCUCCUCCAAAGCAGAAAGGAAGUGCCCCAAGCACACCUCAACAAGUACCUGACUCCAUUAGUAAAGAAUUAGAAAAAAGACGUAUUGGAAAAAGUAGUAUGAGCAGUUUGUCGGAUCCGAACAAGAAUCAUAAGCGUAACAACUCGUGGGAUAAGAUCGGCUCAAGGGAUAGUUCCGGAGGAUCUUUAAAAUCCGGAGGUUCUAGUGAUUCGCUUCCCACGGUGCAGGGAAAGCGGGUUAUUCCUAAGUAAGGGCCACUUUAAACAUAAGAAAAUUAACACAACAACCAAAGCCCCAACAAGGAAACGUAAUCAACGCUCUGUUUCACCUGCAACAAGAAAAUCAGAGAGAAAUCUAAUUGUGUGAUUGAAUGUGAAAAAUUCAUUGUGUCAAGGAAUCCCGUCCAAUUGAACCUGAACCUUGAUCAUUUAAUUAAUAUUAUUAUGCUGCUGACCUGAAUUGAUUAGGUUUUGAGCUGCUAAAUGCUAUGUAUUGUAUGUAGAUUAAAAUGGAUAUUACCCACGUGUCCCGUAUUUCAUUACUUUACUAUUGAUUCAUCAGUCACCUUUACCAUCAGAAACAUGUCCCAAUGAUUCCUACGCAAUACUUUUUGUUUAUUUCUGUUUGUUGAUUGCAUGAUUGGCUCAAAUGCAAUUAAUUAAAUUAAAAUUCUGCUCUAAUUACGAAACUUUAUGUUGUAGUUACACAAAAUCUAUACAUAUUAUGAAUGGUUUUUAACAAUAACUUUUUAUAUUUAUAUGAAAUUCAAAUCUUGUAGUAUCAAACUAUUUAUCCCGAUUUUUGACAUACUUAUUUCUAGUAUUAUUUAGUGGCAAAAUCUUGAAACAAAUCCAAUAAUUACUUCAGGAUGGGUGGUGCUUAUCGUGUCGUAAGUUUAGAGUUGAGCUCUAAUAACACGAAAUUCAUACUUGUUACGGGACAAUUAUUUACUUACAAUUGUUAGUUUUUGAAAUUGACAAAUAAAUAAAUCGAAUAAAUAAAUUGACGAUACACAAAUUGGCGUUAAAUUUAAUCAUCAGCGUCAUGUAUUUGAAAACGCACGUUUAUUUGUUCAGAAACUCAUUGUGGUAGUAUACAAACACAUGCGGUUGAUAAAACAAUAAAUAUAUUUGUACGAAAUCCAUCUUAUUUCACGAUAAGUUAAAUAUACUAAUCUAAAUAUAUAGACUCAUAUCAUCAUCAUU